CACCCGAUAGCACAUAGUGUGCACCUGUCGUACCUUAGCGAACUUGAUACCGAUGUUGCAGGCAGGAGGCCCCCGUUCGACUCGGGGUCGGGUGA